GGGCCCAUAGCUCAGCUGGUAGAGCAACUGACUUUUAAUCAGUAGGUCACAGGUUCGAAUCCUGUUGGGCUCA
rnacentral:tRNA from 1 species